UACGUAGGGUGCGAGCGUUGUCCGGAAUUAUUGGGCGUAAAGGGCUCGUAGGCGGUUUGUCGCGUCGGGAGUGAAAUCCACUGGCUUAACUGGUGGCUUGCUUUCGAUACGGGCAGACUGGAGGUAUGCAGGGGAGAACGGAAUUCCUGGUGUAGCGGUGAAAUGCGCAGAUAUCAGGAAGAACACCCGUGGCGAAGGCGGCUCUCUGGGACGGUACUGACGCUGAGGAGCGAAAGCGUGGGGAGCGAACAGG
rnacentral:rRNA from 1 species